CAGGGCUGCCCAGGGCUGUGCUGCAGAGCAGGCUCCUGCAGCCCAGGGCGCUGAGCUGGGGCAGGGACUCUGCUGCCUGCCAGGGACAGCUCUCAGCCGGCCCGGGGAGCUGCUGCCAGCGCUGGGGAGAAGCUCUGGGGGGAAGGAGCCACCCUGAGCAGGGCAGGUGCUGCUGCUGAGAGGGGCUGGGUGGGGCAGGGCUGCUCCCAGCUCCAGACCAGCCUGGACACAGCUCCGGAGGACACUUCCCAAAGAAGGCAACAGGAGAAUGAGAGAGGCAGACCCGGAGGUGUAAUCAGACACUCACAGAACGUUCUGAGUUGAAAGGGACACACAGGAUCAUCCAGAUCUUCAGGGCCGUGCUGAGGAUCCCCUCUGAGCAGGGACAGCACAAAGCCUUUUCCACCUGCCUCCCUCACCUGGCCGUGCUCUCCCUCUUUGUCAGCACUGCUAUAUUAUACUACCUGAAGCCUGCCUCCAUCUCCUCCCCCUCCCUGGAUCUGGCCCUGUCAGUUCUGUACUCGGUGCUGCCUCCAGCCCUGAACCCCCUCAUCUACAGCCUGAGGAACCAGGAGCUCAGGGCUGCAGUGUGGACACUGAUGACUGGAUGCUUUCAGGAACAUUAAACUGCUGGCCAA